UGGGGAAUAUUGGACAAUGGGCGAAAGCCUGAUCCAGCCAUGCCGCGUGUGUGAAGAAGGUCUUCGGAUUGUAAAGCACUUUCAGUUGGGAGGAAGGGCAGUAAGCGAAUACCUUGCUGUUUUGACGUUACCGACAGAAUAAGCACCGGCUAACUCUGUGCCAGCAGCCGCGGUAAUACAGAGGGUGCAAGCGUUAAUCGGAAUUACUGGGCGUAAAGCGCGCGUAGGUGGUUCGUUAAGUUGAAUGUGAAAGCCCCGGGCUCAACCUGGGAACUGCAUCCAAAACUGGCGAGCUAGAGUAGGGCAGAGGGUGGUGGAAUUUCCUGUGUAGCGGAGAAAUGCGUAGAUAUAGGAAGGAACACCAGUGGCGAAGGCGACCACCUGGGCUCAUACUGACACUGAGGUGCGAAAGCGUGGGGAGCAAACAGG
rnacentral:rRNA from 1 species